rnacentral:rRNA from 1 species
CCUACGGGUGGCAGCAGUGGGGAAUAUUGGGCAAUGGGCGCAAGCCUGACCCAGCAACGCCGCGUGAAGGAAGAAGGCUUUCGGGUUGUAAACUUCUUUUCUGCGGGACGAAGAAAGUGACGGUACCUCAGGAAUAAGCCACGGCUAACUACGUGCCAGCAGCCGCGGUAAUACGUAGGUGGCAAGAGUUAUCCGGAUUUAUUGGGUGUAAAGGGCGUGGAGGCGGGAAAGCAAGUCAGAUGUGAAAACUCAGGGCUCAACCCUGAGCGUGCAUUUGAAACUGUUUUUCUUGAGUGCUGGAGAGGCAUUCGGAAUGCCGUGGGUAGCGGUGAAAUGCGUAGAGAUACGGAGGAACACCGGUGGCGAAGGCGGAUUGCUGGACAGUAACUGACGCUGAGGCGCGAAAGCGUGGGGAGCAAACAGGAUUAGAUACCCGAGUAGUC